rnacentral:lncRNA from 1 species
UUUAAAGCCCGAUCCGAACAGUUUUACGACAUCACAAGAAAAAAUCUUAGUACAAAAAUCUUAGCUACAACGUCCGUCAGCAGUACUCCGUCAGUCAGGCUUCUAUUCCAGAGAUUCUUUCAAGAAAUUCCCACAUAUUGCAGGCCACAACAAACACCUAUCCAUAAAAUCUCCUCGUGAUUCGUCUAUGCAAGGGUCCCUGGAUGCAAGUCUUUGAAUUAACAUGGAUUUGGAUUCUUAAGCCGACAAAAGUCUUGUAACCAGAAAAUUGAAAACCAAACUACUCAAGAAAACAAGACAAAUGUGAUUAUUCGUGGCAAGAAUAAUUUUCACAUUUGCAGUGAAAGCAAGUCACUAGCCGGUCGAUGAAUUAUUUUUCGUUGUAUUGGUAUGAGCACCCAGACUCUGUCUGGGGUAGUGCUCAUUUCAUCGAACCUUUUGGCAAAAGUGUAUGCAAUGUGUAUAGUUAAGUUUAUAUGGUUGUCACUGCCGACCAAAUGGCGUCUGCCCUCUCGAUGACCGAUCUCACUCCCGAGGAAAGUGUUUUCACCAUCGGGAGCUCCAGAAGUACCUCCAAAAAAUCUUUCCCGAACUGGUGGUGGGGCAAGAAAGGCAAUUCAACCAAAUCGUUGCCCACCACCCGUGGGUAUUUAAAUUGGAUCAUUGAAGGGCCCGGUUGGAAUGGGCGGGAGGAGGAGUUAAUGGCCAUUGUAGACGCCGUAGACCGACGCCGACACAACCGCCGUCGCCAAACUUUAUUCGAUGUGAUAAAGAGGCACAAAACGAGGUUCGCGCAGCCAAGAAGAGGAAGUGAGACGCGGUAGAGGAAGCCAAAAUACAGCUAGUAAAAAAAUUACGGUCGGUGCGGUGCAGUGUUUGCACCAUCGAGAGGUCUAGAAGUACCUCCAAAUAAUUUUUCCAAAACUGGUGGUGGGGCAAGAAACGCAAUUCAACCACGUCGUUGCCCACCACCCGUGGGUAUUUCAAUUGGAAAAGAUCAUUGAAGGGACCGGUUGGAAUGGGCCUGAGUAGGAGUUAAUGGCCAUUGCAGACGCCGUAGACUGACGCACACACAACCGCCGUCGCCAACCUAUAUUCGACGGGAUAAAGAGGCACAAAACGAGGUUCGCACAGCCAAGAAGAGGAAGCGAGACGCGGUUGAGGAAGCUAAAAUACAGCUAGUAAAAAAACUAAGGUCGUUGAAGUGCAGUGUUUGCACCAUCCGAAGCUCUAGAAGUACCUCCAAAUGAUCUUUCCAAAACUGGUGUUGGGGCAAGAAAGGCAAUUCAACCAAAUCGUUGCCCACCACCCGUGGGUAUUUCAAUUGGAUCAUUGAAGGGCCCGGUUGGAAUGGGCGGGAGGAGGAGUUAAUGGCCAUUGCAGACGCCGUAGACCGACGCCCACACAACCGCCGUCGCCUGCCACCAGGUUCGCACUCUUUUCUCCCCUAUUCUCUACAAAGGUCAGAUCUGCGCAUGCGCAGACUUGGUCACGUGGUCUUAAUCGACCAAUGCAAGAGUUUCUUUUGGUCUGAACUUCAGACCACGUGACCAAGCCUGCGGGUAUCUGCUCAUGCGCAGAUCCAACCCUCGUCACCCAGAAAAAAGGGGAGAUCCCCCCCACUUUAAAACGGACCCCACGCCAUUUUUGGUGGGCGGUCCUUUAAAUGUGAUGAAUUUUGCUCU